AGUGGUUAAGCGCUUGGCUGCUAACCAAAAGGUUGGUGGUUCAAGCCCACCAGCUGCUU
rnacentral:tRNA from 1 species